GGACAGAGCUCAGUGGUACAGCAUGUGCUUAGCAAGUGCAAGCUCCUGGGUUCAACCCCCAGUAAGUCUA
rnacentral:tRNA from 1 species